GCCCCUGUAGCCGAGUUGGUAUCGUACUCGGAUUACCAGAGCGGGGUCGUGGGUUCGAUUCCCGCCAGAGGCC
rnacentral:tRNA from 1 species